rnacentral:rRNA from 1 species
UACGUAGGGUGCGAGCGUUAAUCGGAAUUACUGGGCGUAAAGCGUGCGCAGGCGGUUGUGCAAGACAGGUGUGAAAUCCCCGGGCUUAACCUGGGAAUGGCAUUUGUGACUGCACGGCUAGAGUGUGUCAGAGGGGGGUAGAAUUCCACGUGUAGCAGUGAAAUGCGUAGAGAUGUGGAGGAAUACCGAUGGCGAAGGCAGCCCCCUGGGAUAACACUGACGCUCAUGCACGAAAGCGUGGGGAGCAAACAGG